rnacentral:rRNA from 1 species
AACGAACGCUGGCGGCGCGUCUUAAACAUGCAAGUCGAACGAUCUGUAGCAAUACAGGGAGUGGCGGACGGGUGAGGAACACGUAGGAAUCUACCUUGAAGAGCGGGACAACUUUGGGAAACCGGGGCCAAUACCGCAUAGUACAGAGAUGUUAAAGGGCUAGCAAUAGUCGCUUCGAGAUGAGCCUGCGGUCUAUCAGCUUGUUGGUGAGGUAAUGGCUCACCAAGGCUACGACGGAUAGCCGGUCUGAGAGGAUGAUCGGCCACACUGGCACUGAGACACGGGCCAGACUCCUACGGGAGGCAGCAGUUAAGAAUCUUGCGCAAUGGGGGAAACCCUGACGCAGCGACGCCGCGUGAAGGAUGAAGGCUUUCGGGUUGUAAACUUCGGUAGACUGGGAAGAAGAAAUACGUUCGUUGAGGGCGUAUAGUGACGGUACCAGUCUGAAGCCCCGGCUAAUUACGUGCCAGCAGCCGCGGUAAU